UACGGAGGGAGCUAGCGUUUUUCGGAUUUACUGGGCGUAAAGAGCACGUAGGCGGUUUGCUAAGUUGAAAGUGAAAUCCCAGAGCUUAACUCUGGAACUGCUUUCAAAACUAGCUGGCUAGAGUAUGAUAUGGGACAGUGGAAUUCCUAGUGUAGAGGUGAAAUUCUUAGAUAUUAGGAGGAACACCGGGGGCGAAGGCGACUGUCUGGAUCAUUACUGACGCUGAGGUGCGAAAGCGUGGGGAGCAAAC
rnacentral:rRNA from 1 species